rnacentral:rRNA from 1 species
UCCUACGGGAGGCAGCAGUGGGGAAUAUUGCACAAUGGGCGCAAGCCUGAUGCAGCCAUGCCGCGUGUAUGAAGAAGGCCUUCGGGUUGUAAAGUACUUUCAGCGGGGAGGAAGGGAGUAAAGUUAAUACCUUUGCUCAUUGACGUUAUAAGAGACCGGCCC